UACGGAGGGUGCAAGCGUUACUCGGAAUCACUGGGCGUAAAGCGCGCGCAGGCGGGCUGAUAAGCUGGAUGUGAAAUCCUACGGCUCAACCGUAGAACUGCAUCCAGAACUGUCAGUCUAGAGUCUGGGAGGGGAAGAUGGAAUUAGUAGUGUAGGGGUAAAAUCCGUAGAGAUUACUAGGAAUACCAAAAGCGAAGGCGAUCUUCUGGAACAGUACUGACGCUGAGGCGCGAAAGCGUGGGGAGCAAACAGGAUUAGAUACCCUGGUAGUCCACGCCCUAAACGAUGAAUGUUAGUCGUUGGUGUCCUAGUGACAUCAGUGAUGCAGCUAACGCAUUAAACAUUCCGCCUGGGGAGUACGGUCGCAAGAUUAAAACUCAAAGGAAUAGACGGGGACCCGCACAAGUGGUGGAGCAUGUGGUUUAAUUCGAAGAUACGCGAAGAACCUUACCUGGCCUUGACAUUGAUGGAACCUGCCAGAGAUGGCGGGGUGCCCUUUUAGGGAGCCUGAAAACAGGUGCUGCACGGCUGUCGUCAGCUCGUGUCGUGAGAUGUUGGGUUAAGUCCCGCAACGAGCGCAACCCUCGUCACUAGUUACUAACGGUUCGGCCGAGGACUCUAGUGAGACUGCCUUCGCAAGGAGGAGGAAGGUGAGGACGACGUCAAGUCAUCAUGGCCCUUACGGCCAGGGCAACACACGUGCUACAAUGGGGUGUACAAUGAGACGCGAUACCGCGAGGUGGAGCAAAUCUAUAAAGCAUCUCUCAGUUCGGAUUGUAGUCUGCAACUCGACUACAUGAAGCUGGAAUCACUAGUAAUCGUAGAUCAGCUAUGCUACGGUGAAUACGUUCCCGGGUC
rnacentral:rRNA from 1 species